rnacentral:rRNA from 1 species
CCUACGGGAGGCAGCAGUGGGGAAUAUUGGGCAAUGGGCGCAAGCCUGACCCAGCAACGCCGCGUGAAGGAAGAAGGCUUUCGGGUUGUAAACUUCUUUUGUCAGGGACGAAGCAAGUGACGGUACCUGACGAAUAAGCCACGGCUAACUACGUGCCAGCAGCCGCGGUAAUACGUAGGUGGCAAGCUGUAUCCGGAUGUAUUGGGUGUAAAGGGCGUGUAGGCGGGAAUGCAAUUUAGAUGUGAAAACUAUGGGCUCAACCCAUAGCCUGCAUUUGAAACUGUAUUUCUGGAGUGCUGGAGAGGCAAUCGGAAUUCCGUGUGUAGCGGUGAAAUGCGUAGAUAUACGGAGGAACACCAGUGGCGAGGGCGGAUUGCUGGACAGUAACUGACGCUGAGGCGCGAAAGCGUGGGGAGCAAACAGGAUUAGAUACCCCUGUAGUC